rnacentral:miRNA from 1 species
UCUGAAACUACCAUAUCUGCAAAGGCAAUUCUUAUAAACAUUGCCUUUGCAGAUGUGGUAGUUUCAGAAUAAACU